rnacentral:lncRNA from 1 species
UCUUUGAAAGUUCACCAAAAAGGAUAGAGAAGAGAGGAGACCUAAACCUAAGGCAACAACUCCUAAGACCACCCCUAACCGAGAGCCUUUAGGGAUUAUUCAUGUAAUUGUGGAAGGACCUAGUGAUGAUUAGGGAAAAUAAGUAAACCACAAAUCUAACAGCUGGUCUGAUAAGUUCGGUAAAAAUCGAAAAGGAUUAUUUAAGAUUUUGAAGGAUAUUCUCCUAGGGUCCUAUAAGCUUAUCAAAUUAGAUGGCUGAAUCAUAGAAUACUUGUAACCUAAGAAAACUUUAUUAAUAACAGCUAACGAG